CAUAUAAAACCUUUUUUUCUGAUCGCACUGGGAUUGUUCGCGAUGUCAGUGUUCAAGCUAGUGCUGAUCAUGCUCAUUUUGGUCUGUGCGACCGAGGCGCGUAUUUACUGUCGUAUGUGCCCGCGUUUCUGCAGAGGUCGUGAACGUAAAUGGGGUACUUGCAACAACGGCAGACCUAUCUGUUGUCAACGAUUUUAGAGAGACAGACCAGCAGCCAGACAAAUGUGCCUGAUGUAAUAAAAACUUUUGCGUUUGAA